rnacentral:rRNA from 1 species
CCUACGGGUGGCAGCAGUGGGGAAUAUUGCACAAUGGGGGAAACCCUGAUGCAGCGACGCCGCGUGAGUGCAGACGUCUUUCGGUGUGUAAAGCUCUAUCAGCAGGGAAGAAAAUGACGGUACCUGAUUAAUCAGCCCCGGCUAACUACGUUCCAGCAGCCGCGGUACUACGUCGGGGGCCAGCGUUAUCCGGAUUUACGGGGUGUAAAGGGAGCCUAGACGGCAUCACAAGUCUGGAGUGAAAUGCCGGGGCUUAACCCCGGAACUGCUUUGGAAACUGUGCAGCUAGAGUGCAGGAGAGGUAAGUGGAAUUCCUAGUGUAGCGGUGAAAUGCGUAGAUAUUAGGAGGAACACCAGUGGCGAAGGCGGCUUACUGGACUGUAACUGACGUUGAGGCUCGAAAGCGUGGGGAGCAAACAGGAUUAGAUACCCUGGUAGUC